UCUGUCUUCUCCUCUUCCUGCCCCAAGCUAGGGUUCGUGGAGUUUCUUGCUAGAUCUGCUCCCUCUGUGAAUACUUCUUCUUUUGCUUUUUGUUUUUGCUGGAUCUGCUCCCUCUGCGAAUACUACUUCUUUUGCUUUUUGUUUCUGCUAGAUCUGCUCAUUUUCACUUUGUUUGUGCUUACUAAGGUGCUUCUCUAUGGUUCACUAUGGUGUUUGCAGGAUUUACCAAUCGGGGGAGUUUCGUUGAUGACGGAUUGCCGUUGCUCCAUCUCCUCUUUUUCAGGCAUGGUUUGCCCUGUUUGUCGUUGUCCAGGUGCUCCUUGCGUAC